CGGCGUGCUUACACAUGCAAGUCGAGUGCGCGGUUGUAGCAAUACAACUGGCGCACGGCGCACGGGUGCGUAACACGUGGGUAACCUGCCCUUUGAUGGGGAAUAACCCCGCGAAAGCGGGGCUAAUACCGCAUAAGAUCCGCAAGGAUGAAAGCCGUAAGGCGUCGAAGGAGGGGCCCGCGCACGAUUAGCUAGUUGGUAGGGUAACGGCCUACCAAGGCUUUGAUCGUUAGCUGGUCUGAGAGGAUGGCCAGCCACACUGGAACUGAGACACGGUCCAGACUCCUACGGGAGGCAGCAGUGGGGAAUCUUGCACAAUGGGCGAAAGCCUGAUGCAGCGACGCCGCGUGGGGGAUGAAGCUUCUCGGAGUGUAAACCCCUUUCGACCCGGACGAAAGCCCCGCAAGGGGACUGACGGUACGGGUAUAAGAAGCCCCGGCUAACUACGUGCCAGCAGCCGCGGUAAGACGUAGGGGGCCAGCGUUGUUCGGAAUUACUGGGUGUAAAGGGUUCGUANGCGGUGUGGCAAGUCGGGAGUGAAAUCUCUGGGCUCAACUCAGAGUCUGCUUCCGAAACUGCUGUGCUG
rnacentral:rRNA from 1 species